AGCGAACGCUGGCGGCAGGCUUAACACAUGCAAGUCGAGCGGGCGUAGCAAUACGUCAGCGGCAGACGGGUGAGUAACGCGUGGGAACGUACCUUUUGGUUCGGAACAACACAGGGAAACUUGUGCUAAUACCGGAUAAGCCCUUACGGGGAAAGAUUUAUCGCCGAAAGAUCGGCCCGCGUCUGAUUAGCUAGUUGGUGAGGUAACGGCUCACCAAGGCGACGAUCAGUAGCUGGUCUGAGAGGAUGAUCAGCCACAUUGGGACUGAGACACGGCCCAAACUCCUACGGGAGGCAGCAGUGGGGAAUAUUGGACAAUGGGCGCAAGCCUGAUCCAGCCAUGCCGCGUGAGUGAUGAAGGCCCUAGGGUUGUAAAGCUCUUUUGUGCGGGAAGAUAAUGACGGUACCGCAAGAAUAAGCCCCGGCUAACUUCGUGCCAGCCGCCGCAGUAAG
rnacentral:rRNA from 1 species